AGAGUUUGAUCAUGGCUCAGGAUGAACGCUAGCGGCAGGCUUAACACAUGCAAGUCGAGGGGUAACAGGAGGUAGUUUACUAUUUUGCUGACGACCGGCGCACGGGUGAGUAACGCGUAUACAAUUUACCUUUUACAGGGGGAUAGCCUUUAGAAAUGAAGAUUAAUACCCCAUAGUAUUAUGAAGUGGCAUCACUUUAUGAUUAAAGUUUCGGCGGUAAAAGAUGAGUAUGCGUCCUAUUAGCUAGAUGGUAAGGUAACGGCUUACCAUGGCGACGAUAGGUAGGGGUCCUGAGAGGGAGAUCCCCCACACUGGUACUGAGACACGGACCAGACUCCUACGGGAGGCAGCAGUGAGGAAUAUUGGUCAAUGGAGGCAACUCUGAACCAGCCAUGCCGCGUGCAGGAAGACGGUCCUAUGGAUUGUAAACUGCUUUUAUAGAGGAAGAAACCUUACCACGUGUGGUAGGCUGACG
rnacentral:rRNA from 1 species